rnacentral:rRNA from 1 species
GAUGAACGCCGGCGGCGUGCCUAAUACAUGCAAGUCGAGCGAAUGGAUUAAGAGCUUGCUCUUAUGAAGUUAGCGGCGGACGGGUGAGUAACACGUGGGUAACCUGCCCAUAAGACUGGGAUAACUCCGGGAAACCGGGGCUAAUACCGGAUAACAUUUUGAACCGCAGUGUUCGAAAUUGAAAGGCGGCUUCGGCUGUCACCUAUGGAUGGACCCGCGUCGCAUUAGCUAGUUGGUGAGGUAACGGCUCACCAAGGCAACGAUGCGUAGCCGACCUGAGAGGGUGAUCGGCCACACUGGGACUGAGACACGGCCCAGACUCCUACGGGAGGCAGCAGUAGGGAAUCUUCCGCAAUGGACGAAAGUCUGACGGAGCAACGCCGCGUGAGUGAUGAAGGCUUUCGGGUCGUAAAACUCUGUUGUUAGGGAAGAACAAGUGCUAGUUGAAUAAGCUGGCACCUUGACGGUACCUAACCAGAAAGCCACGGCUAACUACGUGCCAGCAGCCGCGGUAA